GUAUGCUUUGAUUGGUUGGAGCGGCAAGGUUUUCCAGAUCCUGGGAGUCUAUCCCUUCCAACAAUCUGGAGGUAGCAUAGUACAUCCGUACUCGCAGGUUGGUGUCUGACUGUCUUUGAAUGGUGUUGCUCCAGUGUUGUUUUCCAAUGAUUAAUUUGCAGAAAUUGAUUAUCUGGACAUACCUCCCGCUCCAACCAAUCAAAAAGCCGCCGCCCGGUCUUUUUUGGUACUUCUUUGGUACUUCCUCCCACCUCCCGCUCAGCCGCAAUGAAACAAAAAACGGUCCAGCCGAGUACCCCACCCGCCCCCACGCACCCAAUCUUCCGUCGCAUCCAACUAACCCGAACGAGAAAAAACCAGCUAAAGCAAGCCGGCAAAAAUUAACCAGCGAAAAAAAAUCGCCCCACUCUGCGCCCUCGAGCGAGGUUUCGUGCCCUCGAGCGAGAAACAGUCGCCCGACACUGUUCCCUCCUUCGCCCGCCGCCUCCCUUCGUCCCUUCACCGCCGCCGCCCUUCGUCCCUUCGCCGCCCCCGCUUCAUCCAUUCACCGUCGCCCUGGCACUGAUCCGGCGCGUAAAUCGCACAUCACAAGCGCCGGCCUCCACUGAUUCGGCGCUGGUCCAGGAUCCGGCGCCGAUCCUGGUCAGGACCCGUCGCCGGAGACGUCCAGGAUCCGGCUACACCUUUCACCAGCCGCCGCCGAGGAGCCCUACGCCGCAGCCAAGAUCCGAGAGGAGCAGCCGCCAAGGAGAUCCGAGAGGAGCAGCCGCCGCCGAGGUUCGAGAGGAGCUGGCCACCACGACCUCCCUCCCCAGUCGGCCGCCACCACCUCCUCCCCCACCCCCUCCCCCACGUGCCUGGCAUAGGUGGGUAUCAGCCUCCCUCCUACCUCCGUCCAAGGCUAGGAACUCCCCUCCCCUCCCAAUCUCCUCCCUUCGUCCAAGGCCAGGAGCUCCCCCCCCCUACCCGAUCUGACGAAGAGAGGGCCAGGCCUUCCACUCCGGUGUUCGAUGUGGCCAGAUCCAGCCGGGGGACUCGCCGCAGAGUCUCCAUGUCGGUGGAGCAGCAGCAGCCCAACAGAAGGUGGGUGCCCAAUCCGUUUUUUGUUACGAACUGAUGCAUUUUGCCCUUAUGUUGUUGAGUGAUAAUUUAUAUGUAUUUAAUUUACUAGAUGAACUGCACACCUGAAUGCAGCACUCGUGCAAAGAUGCAACAUCUUGGUCGGCUGCUCGCGGCGGAGAGUGUGGCUAGUGCUUGCAGCAGUGGCAGAGCAGCGUCGGCGAGCGCGGCGCAAGUAGUGGCCAGAGCUGCAUGGGCCGUUGCAAGCAUGCCAUCCAGGCAGCACUUCAAGUAUGACAAUGUCCACUCUACACCAAGGUACGUGGGCACUUGUGCAAAUAUCUAGCAUCUUCAUCGACUAGGACUAAGUUAUGUGUUUUCUUCUUCCUGUGUCAUGCGGUGAUAAUUUGUUCUGCCUAUUAUUUGCAAGUAUUAGUCAGUUGGGAGAUGAGGUGGUUUGCCAGAUAAGAAAUAGAGUAAGGACAAGAAGGAGCUUUAAUUGGGUCAUGUCAUGGUGAACUUGGAGCACAGAAUUUUACAGGAGAUGGUCAUGGUAAAACAGGGUGCUUAAGAUCUAGGGAAGUAUAACAUUUUUUUGGAAAGCUAAGUAAAACAAAUUUACUUUCUGGGUCUAAUUUAAUUUUUCUAUGUUCAUAAUUUCUCGCAUGAAUAGAUAGACGUGAACUUGCUGAGACGUCUUUGCCUUGAAUUCUAAGGCUUGAAUCUAAAUGGAGGUGAGGCCAAGUCUUGAACGAAUACUAAGGUUUGCAUCUUUUAUAAAGCUUGACAAUUACUGUGUAGUUUCAGUUAACAUGAUAGUCACGCGUGGUGAAUCUCUUUUCUUGUCCAGAGAUUUCACGAAUCCAUUAUUGCCUACAGAACAACAUCCUAGGGCCCUCCCAGUUUGAUUCUCUUUAUUUUGCUAUAUCUCAACUAUUACAUACAUCAUUUAUGCUCUGAAGCUAACCAUUGUAUGCUUUGAUUGGUUGGAGCGGCAAGGUUUUCCAGAUCCUGGGAGUCUAUCCCUUCCAACAAUCUGGAGGUAGCAUAGUACAUCCGUACUCGCAGGUUGGUGUCUGACUGUCUUUGAAUGGUGUUGCUCCAGUGUUGUUUUCCAAUGAUUAAUUUGCAGAAAUUGAUUAUCUGGAUAUGUUUGCAUCUUGUUUACAUAUCCCUGUGAGUUCUCUUACAGGAAAAAUAUGAGUUUGGUGUUUCUUUACUGCCUGGAGCGCCGAGUGUCUGGUACCAAUGAACGGUGCACACUGAUAGUCAGUGAUUUGAACACUAGCUUAUGCCAGAUUUUACUGGUUCCGUUUUGAGCCUUGGAAGGCUCAUUUCACAAUCUUAAUAUUUUGACUACCUUUUCAAAUGCCAGAGUAUAUUUUAUAUAGAAAAUACCGACUGCAAAGUUAUACUAUCAAGUAAAUUCCACACACAAAAUAAAUAAGAGAAACUUAUAUGUAACGUUGGCAGAUGCUUGUUGGCAUGGAACGGACAUUGUGGAUCCAGUGUGAGAAUCUCAUAGCUGCACUAACUAAUUGUACUAUUCUUUUAGAAUGACAGCCUCCCUGAGUUUGUUUCAUUUAAAAUGGUUUGCCUCACUAAUUGUAUGUCAGGCUGCAACAUCCUUCGUUCCUCCACAUACGACCCUGCGACUAAACCGAGCCGCAUACAUCUACAACGCUUUUGUGUUGCUGAUGCCGUCGCGGCCUCCCCACAUGGGUUCCCAACCUCUGUUCGCCGGCCCGCGCCCCCACAUCUCCUCACAUUAAUAUGGCUGCCGGCUGCAGAAUCGACGAGGAGGUCGCAGUGGAGGGGUGGUGCUGCAGUGGCUAGCAAGAUAUCAUAAGCUCUCCUUUGUUCUUUUGUGUUUGAAUCAGAUUCAGUGGUUCUUGAUUUUACAGUCAUGUAUCGACCACCAUUGGGUAAGCUCAUCAAGGUUUAUCUUGGUUGCAGUUUGCAUAAGCUAGGUUUGGAUUACACUGACCUUUGCCAGAUAUAUUUGCUUGAUAGGUCGAUUGCAUUAUAUGCUAGAGGGUGCAAUGCCUUGUUUUUUAAUGCUUGUAUCAUGUGCACCCUAGAGCCGUAACACUGGUUGUUUCAGGCCCUAAAUAAAAUCUGACACUUGAAAAUUAUCGGGGCAUGCCGUUUGAACUACCACACCCCAUAUAAAAUGGUGGAUUGUGCCAUAUUCGUAUAAGUCUUGCUUACCCUGUAAUUAUGUUCAUAUGUUUGGACAGAGGGAAUAUGUCUGAGCCGCCGUUAUGUGUUUCUACUAAUUAAAGAACAACUAGGGUCAUUUGAAAGAAGACGAGGUAUGUUGCGGGGCUAUUGUCGAUUCUUGCCUAUUUGUCAUUAGUUAUUCUGUUUUGGCGGAAUUACUAUGUUAUCAAAUUUGAGUGUUCAACAACUUGCAGAAGUAAUUACAUGCCAAAUUUCUAAAUCUUAGUUCAUAUGCAGCUGGAAGAAUUCCACGAUAGACCAUUGCUUCAAGGUUGGGAGCGGCCACAACAUAAUUGACAUCAAAACCAGAUCUGGGUCCUACAUAUCCGGUCUUGCUCGGUGAGAUUUCUAUUUUCCAAUCCGUUAUAUACCUAUGAUUUAUUUGCUACAUGAGGUAGUGGCGGGAUCACCUUUACAAUGCCAAAUUAUAUUUCUAUUUCUACAGUAUUAGCUACUAGCCAACAGCAUGUGUUUACACUCUCAUCAGUUAACAGAGUGAUUAGUCAUAGUAAACUAUGUGCCAGCUUAUGUGAGUCCAAUCGAUCUAUCUUUUACCGGCAUUCCCCAUUGUGUAAAUUGGGAUUAUUUGCACCAGCCUUCAUACACUCCUAAAACAUGGUAGGUAAGACAAGCAAAUAGGCACCAGUGGAGCUAUGGCAAGGCUCAAAGGGCCAUGGCCCGCCCUGGGCUAGAGCGAAAAGGAGUUUUACAUGAAGUUUAUCCCACAAUAUUGCAUUGAUUUUUAGUUUGGUGGUGCUAUUUGCACUAUCCAGCCCACCAACAUUUUUUAGGUAACUCCGCCACUGCAAAUAGGUAUCACGAUGGUUGGUGCCUAGAGGGAAGUGAGAAGAAGAGAAGACACAACAUGGAGAGGAAGACAAUCAGAUAUAUCACUUGUUGCUUUACAUCUUUUGUUUGAGCCUUGCUACAUGAUUGCUCUUGCAAUUGAGGUUUUCCAGUGAGCGUUUUAUUACAUAGAUAGGCUCUUUCUGAUGACACCAAGGCUACGACAAUGAGUAGGCAUGCUCUUUUGAAAAUGGGUAGGCAUACUCUUUUCAAAAUGAGUAGGCAUCUUUCCUUUCUGAAUAAUGGUAACAUUAAUUUGUUUACUUGUUAAGAUUUCCCUUGAAUGACUUACUAUUGUUAUGCACUUAUGUUGAAUGAAAUUUCAUCCAUUUUGUAGUAUCCUACAAUGGUUUAUAGAUGGUGUGGCUCCUUGCACUAAGAUGAUCGAUCAGAGAUCUAGAGUCCUCAAUACAGUCGAUGACGCCUCCUCAAGAUUCACUUCUUCGUAGCCCCCAACCUUGGUAUAGUAUAAAAACCUACAAAUAAAUCAGAAGAAUAGGCAAUUAUCGGAUGCUUAUGUUUGUUGGUGUAGUAGCCCUCUUAAGUCCAGUCCUAGAGAAGUGUGUCGUAGAAGCAUAUCAGGAAGACAUGGACGUGGAUAUGCAUUAUGGUUGUAUUAUGGACGUGGAUAUGGUCGCUAUAUUAGAUAUAUCUUUUACAUAUUUUUCUGAGUUUGUUCUCAGGGGUGGGUCGUGGCUACCUGAUAACGAUCCAAUUUGGUUGUUUUAUGAUCUUGUCAAGAUAUUUCACACCAUACGGAUUAACUAUCACCAGUUUUAGUUAAUGAUUCCUGAUAUUUAUCUCCCAAUGGUUAUCCGUCCGCACAGUUGCAUGCAACUACAAGUACAAACUAAUUUUUUAACUUCCAUUUCUUGAUCAAUUGACAUUGGAAAGUUAGCACUAUUAACGCACUCUUUG
rnacentral:lncRNA from 1 species